rfam:Tncinocarpus reesii 1704 scaffold_2 genomic scaffold, whole genome shotgun sequence.
GGCCGCGUGGCCUAAUGGUUAAGGCGCUGGUUUCCGGUUUUCUCGACAGCCAGAGAUCCUGCGUUCGAAUCGCAGCGUGGUCG